AAUAUUAUGAUGAUUAUCAUUACCGCCCCAGUCUGAACCCUGUGACUGAUUGGUGAUGCUGACUAAC